rnacentral:rRNA from 1 species
AUUGAACGCUGGCGGCAGGCCUAACACAUGCAAGUCGAACGGUAACAGGAAGCAGCUUGCUGCUUCGCUGACGAGUGGCGGACGGGUGAGUAAUGUCUGGGAAACUGCCUGAUGGAGGGGGAUAACUACUGGAAACGGUAGCUAAUACCGCAUAACGUCGCAAGACCAAAGAGGGGGACCUUAGGGCCUCUUGCCAUCGGAUGUGCCCAGAUGGGAUUAGCUAGUAGGUGGGGUAACGGCUCACCUAGGCGACGAUCCCUAGCUGGUCUGAGAGGAUGACCAGCCACACUGGAACUGAGACACGGUCCAGACUCCUACGGGAGGCAGCAGUGGGGAAUAUUGGACAAUGGGCGCAAGCCUGAUGCAGCCAUGCCGCGUGUAUGAAGAAGGCCUUCGGGUUGUAAAGUACUUUCAGCGGGGAGGAAGGGAGUAAAGUUAAUACCUUUGCUCAUUGACGUUACCCGCAGAAGAAGCACCGGCUAACUCCGUG